CCUACGGGCGGCUGCAGUGAGGAAUAUUGGUCAAUGGGCGAGAGCCUGAACCAGCCAAGUCGCGUGAGGGAGUACUGCCCUAUGGGUUGUAAACCUCUUUUGUCGGGGAGCAAAAGCCGGACGUGUCCGGCUGUGAGAGUACCCGAAGAAAAAGCAUCGGCUAACUCCGUGCCAGCAGCCGCGGUAAUACGGGGGAUGCGAGCGUUAUCCGGAUUUAUUGGGGUUAAAGGGUGCGCAGGCGGAUUUUUAAGUCAGCGGUCAAAUCGUGGGGCUCAACCCCAUCCAGCCGUUGAAACUGGGGAUCUAGAGUGUGCGAGAGGUAUGCGGAAUGCGUGGUGUAGCGGUGAAAUGCAUAGAUAUCACGCAGAACCCCGAUUGCGAAGGCAGCAUACCGGUGCACAACUGACGCUCAGGCACGAAAGCGUGGGUAUCGAACAGGAUUAGAUACCCUUGUAGUC
rnacentral:rRNA from 1 species